GCCCAUUUAUGUGAAAUGUCAAAACAUACAAAUCAAAUAACACACUAACACAAAGCAAAAAAGACAGAGACUAAAAAGUUUCAACUUGGUUAAUUUAUGCAGCUGCACUGAUGCACUCAAUAGCCUGUUUGCAGAUGCCAGUCAUGGUUUCCUCAGGUCCAUAAACCUCAAUUGGGAUGCCAAUUUCCUCACCAAGAGACCUCAUUUUUGCAAGACCUUUUUGGUAGUUUGGACCUCCUCUUCUAACAUAGAUAUGCAUUCUUGCAGCUUUAAGUUUUGACUCCUUCUCCUUAAGAGCUCGAAUAAUACCACUAAAUGUAGCAGCAACAUCAGUGAAAUUGGCUAUUCCACCACCAAUCACAAGGGCUCUCUUACGACCAUCAGGGUUUGCAGUGGCACAAUCAAUUACAACUCUAGCAUACUGCAAGACCUCUUCUUCAUUGGGAGCACCACUGUACUCUGCAUAGUUCCCAAGCUCAGAAGCAUAUCCAAGAUCACCUACAGUAUCGGCAUAAAUGACACUAGCUCCUCCACCAGCAACCAUAGUCCAAAUUCGCCCCUUGGGGUUCAAGACUGUGAACUUCAAAGAUGCACUUGUCUUUU
rnacentral:misc_RNA from 1 species